CAUAAUACUCUCCUUGAUGA
rnacentral:tRNA from 1 species